CCUACGGGAGGCAGCAGUGGGGAAUAUUGCACAAUGGGGGAAACCCUGAUGCAGCGACGCCGCGUGAGUGAAGAAGUAUCUCGGUACGUAAAGCUCUAUCAGCAGGGAAGAAAAUGACGGUACCUGACUAAGAAGCCCCGGCUAACUACGUGCCAGCAGCCGCGGUAAUACGUAGGGGGCAAGCGUUAUCCGGAUUUACUGGGUGUAAAGGGAGCGUAGACGGCCAGACAAGUCAGAAGUGAAAGCCCAGGGCUCAACCCUGGGACUGCUUUUGAAACUGCCGGGCUGGAGUGCAGGAGAGGUAAGCGGAAUUCCUAGUGUAGCGGUGAAAUGCGGAGAUAUUAGGAGGAACACCAGUGGCGAAGGCGGCUUACUGGACUGUAACUGACGUUGAGGCUCGAAAGCGUGGGGAGCAAACAGGAUUAGAUACCCCAGUAGUC
rnacentral:rRNA from 1 species